rnacentral:rRNA from 1 species
CAGCCGCCACGGGAAUACGAAGGGGGCUAGCGUUGUUCGGAAUUACUGGGCGUAAAGCGCACGUAGGCGGAUAUUUAAGUCAGGGGUGAAAUCCCAGAGCUCAACUCUGGAACUGCCUUUGAUACUGGGUAUCUUGAGUAUGGAAGAGGUGAGUGGAAUUCCGAGUGUAGUGGUGAAAUUCGCAGAUAUUCGGAGGAACACCAGUGGCGAAGGCGGCUCACUGGUCCAUUACUGACGCUGAGGUGCGAAAGCGUGGGGAGCAAACAGGAUUAGAUACCCCGGUAGUCCCUGUCUCUUAUAC